rnacentral:rRNA from 1 species
UUCUGGUUGAUCCUGCCGGAGGUCACUGCUAUCGGGGUUCGAUUAAGCCAUGCGAGUCGAGAGGGUUCGGCCCUCGGCGUACUACUCAGUAACACGUGGAUAACCUGCCCUAAGGAAGGGGAUAACCUCGGGAAACUGAGGAUAAUACCCUAUAGGUUACAGACGCUGGAAUGCCCUGUAACCGAAAGCUCCGGCGCCUUAGGAUGGAUCUGCGGCCGAUUAGGUUGUUGUUGGGGUAACGGCCCAACAAGCCGAUAAUCGGUACGGGUUGUGGGAGCAAGAGCCCGGAGUUGGAUUCUGAGACACGAAUCCAGGCCCUACGGGGCGCAGCAGGCGCGAAAACUUUACAAUGCGGGAAACCGUGAUAAGGGAACCUCGAGUGCCUGUAUAUGCAGGCUGUCCAGGUGUCUAAAAAACACCUGAAGAAAGGGCCGGGCAAG